rnacentral:lncRNA from 1 species
AAAAAUUGAAACUAAAUUUCUUUCUUCUCCAAGCCAUUACCCAUUCUUGUCAUAUACCCUAAUUAAAAUAACAAAAGACCUAGAUUUUUGGGGAGCGACCUGCGGUAGUACAACCUGAGAACCCCAUCGAGUCUUCUUCUUCUACCAAACACAGUAGCUCCACCAGCUGCUCAUUCCCAUCGCCGCUGCUCACUUUCCUUCUCCAACAUCCAGCGACCCUCCAGCUCCAAAACGCUAAAGACGUUACUCACGUAGUGGGGGAACAGACACAUAGCAACAGAAAUAGGAGGAGGGAAGGAAAAAACUCGAACACGGCAAAUCGCACUAGACACCGGGGAAGUUAGCACUCAAUACUCUCUAUUAUUGCCGAAAUCUCACUGCCAUGUCAAAUAGGAAUACCUUUCUCCAAUUUUGCUUCACCAAAAUAACACUAGAUCACCACCUUUGGUCCUAUAUUCGUAUCUUGAAUUUUCUCUGGUUGGUAAAAGGUUUCAAUUUAGCAAAAUUUUUGAAAUUGAGUUUUAGGUGCUCAGACCUUAGAGACAAAGAGGUCUCGGAAUUGUCCAUUUCGGUGUUUGAGCGUUUUCGAUUCCGGCUCCUGCUAUGUCGCUAUAAUUUCUUGAGGUCCAUUCUAAACUUUCCCCUAAUUGUUAUAUUCUGUCACAUUGUGAGGUAGUUUAUUUUGCUUGUAAUCUUAUUGUUUUAUUGAUCUUUGAUGGUGCUAGCAUGUGUUAGACUAAUUUAUUUGUGAUAUGAAAAUCAGAUUGUUUGACAAAGAAAUAAGGAUAAUAUAAUAGACUAUAUUAGCCUUUAGAGAAGUAUGAUGGAUAAAAUAAAGCUUUAGUUUAAUCAAUUACUGGGACGUUGUUAAGGAAAAUGAAGCACGUUUUGUUAACAGAGGUGGAAAAGUAAGGUUUGGAUUUAGGAAAAGAAUGAGGGCAGUUGGGAUUACUACUUUGAAUUAAGAGGGAAUAUUUUAAACAAGAUAUAAAUUUUGAACAAAUUAGUCCAUGAAGAUGUUGGUUUUUAAUUAAAGAGAUUGGACUUCAAAAAUGAAUGUUGUUUGUUUUAUUUUAUCAUAUUUACCCGCUAGUAGCAUGUUUUAGGCCGUCAUCACUCGGGCAGACAAACCUUAGAAUUUUUGUUAGUUUUGAGGCGAGAGGUCGUUCCCUUAAUUAAAUUUAUUCCGGGAAAUGCCCCGUAGUAUAUGUAUUUGGAGGCCAUGACGAAGUUGUGGAACAAUAUAGUUCAUAUUAGUAUUUAGCAUUUUACUCUACUUUUUGUUAUUUUUCUUUAUUAGGUAGGAACAACCUCGAGCCUCUUGUGUGUUUAUUUUUCUUUUUUUGCGUUUAGUUAUACCUCAAUUUGAAUGUUUUACAAGCCAACUAGAUCAAGUACAACCGUACUAGUUACGGAAUUUGGGAAAUGCAUAAUACCUUUUCUUCGAGUCAAAUGAGCCUCCUUACCCUAAUCUCUGGUGUAGACUUAGCUUUAGUGUUUAAAGUAUUUUGAAAGAAAAAUUAUUAUUUUUAGAAAAAUGGUGACCUGACACAUCGAAAUCAAAUGUCAAGUGUAGAUUUUGAGUUCUUUCCUUUUGAACACACAAUUUUGUUACUUUUUCAAUUGAAAAUCUUUUUCAAGCUUUCAUAAAAUCUUUUUAUUUAUUGAAGAGGAUUAAGUAGAGUUUGGUUAAAAAUGGGUAUGACAAUUCAGAGCUUGUGUCAUUGGCUUUGGAGGCUCACAGGAUCAGUUUUUGUCCUUAGCAUAGUUUGCCUACAACAGCAGCUAUUAGUCGAGUAUCCAGAUGGCUCCUUAUAAUGCUUUAUAUGGUAGGCAGUGUCGGUCCUCGAUUGGAUGGUUUGAGCCUGGAGAGGCUCGAUUGUUGGAUACAGAUCGGGUUCAGGAGGCCUUGGAGAAGGUCAUGAUCAUUCAGGAUAGGUUUCGUACAACUCAGUCCAGCCAAAAGAGUUAUGCUGACCGCAAGGUUCGAGAUUUGGCUUACAUGGUGGGUGAGCAGGUUUUGCUUCGAGUGUCGCCUAUGAAGGGCGUGAUGAGAUUUGGGAAGAAGAGAAAGCUUAGCCCUAAUUUCAUUGGUCCAUUUGAGAUUCUUGAUCGAGUGUGAGAUAUGACUUAUAGACUUGUAUUGCUGCCGAGCUUAUCAGCCGUGCAUCCAGUGUUUCAUCUGUCCAUGCUUUGAAAAUAUCAUGGCGAUCCAUCUCACAUGUUAGAUUUAGUAUUGUCCAGUUGGACAUGACCUGUCUUAUAAGGAGGAGCCGAUGGCUAUUCUAGACCCGCAGGUUCAUCUGUUGAGAUCGAAGAGUUGACCCGGGAGUUCAAGUUCGAUAUGCGGAGCCGUUAUCCCCAUAUUUUCCCUAACUCAAUACUUCCUUCUUCUAUCUUUUCAAGGACGAACAAUUAUUUUAGAGGUGGAGAAUUUGAUAACCCAAAAAGUCAUCACUUGCUUUUAAUUAAAUUUUGUAUUUUCAAUGCCUUGAAAACCUUAUUUAGCUACCUCGAUUUGAGUGUAGAGGAAAAGCCUAAAUGUAAAAAUCUGUGAAAAAUAAUAAGUUUUGACUAUAUAAUAUAUAAAUUUAACUUCAUUCAAUAUUUUGGAUAAACAGAUCUGGACCCAUAAUUUGACAGUUUCGGAAGGUCUACAGAAAAAUAUGGGACUUGGGCGUAUGCCCAAAAUCGAAUUCCGAGGUCCCAGACCCGAGAAAUGAAUUUUUUUUAAAAAUUGUUUUCUGAAAUUGUUUUAAGGGAAUUUAAAAUUAAAUUUGAUUAGAACAUGAUGGUAUUGUGCCCGCAUUUUAUUUCCGGCAUCCAGUAUGAUUAAAGAUAUUUCUGUAGAAUUUGAUGAAAAACGUAUGUCAUUUGACGUGAUUCGUACCUAAAUUGUAAAAAAUUGAUGUUUUAAGAAGUUUGAGAAAAUUCAAUGAUUUUGAGGGUUAGUCCGUUGUUAUUGAGGUUAGUUUGGCGAUUUGAUCGCACAGAUAAGUUCGUACGAUGUUAUUGAGUUACUAUGUAUGUUUGGUUAGGAGCCCCAAGGGCUCGGGUGUGUUUCAGGUGUGUUUUGGGAGGUUUUGAACUUAAGAAAUGUUGCAGAUUUUGCUGUUCAGUGCACAAAGAAUUUGUUCUUCGCGUUCGUGUGGUCCCACUCGCGAACGUGUAACGCAAAAAUACCAAAUGCCAGUUUUGUUCUUCGCUAAUGCGAGGUUAAGNNNNNNNNNNNNNNNNNNNNNNNNNNNNNNNNNNNNNNNNNNNNNNNNNNNNNNNNNNNNNNNNNNNNNNNNNNNNNNNNNNNNNNNNNNNNNNNNNNNNNNNNNNNNNNNNNNNNNNNNNNNNNNNNNNNNNNNNNNGGGGGGGGGGGGGGAGGAGGGGGAGUACCAUCCACGAACGCGUCCAGGUACUCACAAACGCGUAAAGAAAUGGGCCUGGGAGGGAGUUCUCAUUUAUUCUACAGAACGCGGCCACUGACCUUCGAGCGCGAAGGCUCGAGGGGUUAAAGCUCCACGAACGCGAGGCCAAUGUCGCAAACGUUAAGGUCUUCAGGCGUGACUCAUCGCGAACACGAUAAGCUUGUUGCGAACGCGACGGGUAGUUUCGCCCAGUUAUUUUUAAGUCUCAAAAACAGAACACUUACGAGAUUUUCAUAAAUUUUCAAAAACCUCUUCUUCUCCAAAGCUCUUAGGUGAUGUUUGAAGUAUUUUUUCACCAUAAUCACUUGGGUACGUAAUCUUUAACUUGUUUUCUUCCAUUUUAUCAACACCCACUGAAUUUCUAGGCCUAAAACAUAUAAUUAAGGAUAGAAAUUAGAGAUUUGGAUAGAGUUAGGGCUUGUUGAUUAUUUGUGAUUUAGACCUCAUUUUGGGGUCCAAUUCUGGAAGUAAUUAUAUAUUUGGGCUCGUGGGUGAAUAGGUGAUCGGAUUUUGGUUUGAACCUCGUGUUUUGACCAAGCGAGCCCAGGGUUAACUUUUGGAUAUUUGUGAUGAAUAAUUGGAAAACUAUAAUUAAAUAUUUGAAUUGAAUUGUUUAGCCUUUAUUGAUGUUAUGAAGUCGAUUAUGUAUAGAUACAUUCGAUUUGGAGCCGAAUUCGAAAGGAAAAGUGUUGUUUUAGGUUAGAGAUGGUCGUGAAAGUUUGAGGUAAGUAUUUGGUCUAACCUUAGCUUGAGGGAUUAGGAGUUGUGUCCUAUUUUCUAUUUUCUUGUUGUUGAGUAUGAUGUAUAGGCACGGUGACAAGUAUCUAUGCAUUGACAUCAAAAAUGACCGUGAGUCUUAUAUUGUGAUUUUCAUGACUUCGUUGUAUUAUUCAUGCCUUGGUGAAGAUUUCUAUUUUGUUGUGUACAGUUGUAGAAAGAAUUGUGACCUAUGAACAUUGGGCAGCGUUGGAUCCAGUUAUAUAACGAAUUGUGAAAUUAUAAGUGAUAAUUGAAGCACUAGAGUAUUGGAUCGAGUUGUGAAGUGACUUGUGAAGUAAAAGUGAGAAAGAAAAGAGAUUGUUACGUUGCACUCUUGCCGGGAUAUUAUUGAGUUAUGGUUCCCUUGCAUUGUGUUCUUAUUUGAUAUUACAAAUGCUUAAUUUGAUGAUUUAUUGUGUUAGGUGUUGUAACAAGUUUAGUUAUAGCUGAAGUAGAUAGAUAUUGUAACGAGUUUGGUAAUAGCUGAGGUAGUUAGGUGUUGCAACAAAUUUAGAUAUAGCUGAGGUAGUUAGGGGUAACAAGGUUGGUUAUAGCUGAGGUAGCUAGGUGUCGUACCAAGUUUGGUUAUAGUUGUUUCUAUCUUACCAGAAUAUUGUUGGAUUAUCAUUGUUUCCUUACCGGGAUUUUUUUGUUGAUAUUAUUGUUCCCUUACCGGGAUUCCUUGUGAUUAUUGUGUGCUUGUAAAUGGGAGUGGGUGGUACGCCUAGCACGAGAUAUAAUAAAAUAGGAGCGGGUGGCAUACCUACCAUGAGAUAAUGUAGUAUUGUUAGACCGUCUGUAAAAUCGUGACACCAGUUUUGGGUAGUCGAGACUCAAAUAGUUGUAUUAGAUAUUUAUGUUCAGAUAGUUUGUUUUUUUCUUUCGGUUAUGUUAAAUUCCGCUGUUUAAAUGAUAUUACUUCAAACUUGUUAAUGAAUAUAAAAUGGGCAAAAAGGUAAAUUUUACAAUUAAUUUGCUUGCGUAGCUCGUAU